CUCCGGGUUGCAGCAGUGAGGAAUAUUGCACAAUGGGGGGAACCCUGAUGCAGCAACGCCGCGUGGAGGAUGACGCAUUUCGGUGUGUAAACUCCUUUUAUAUGUCAAGAAAAUGACGGUAGCAUAUGAAUAAGCGCCGGCUAACUCCGUGCCAGCAGCCGCGGUAAUACGGGAGGGCGCAAGCGUUACUCGGAAUCACUGGGCGUAAAGGACGCGUAGGCGGGUUGAAAAGUCAGGUGUGAAAGCCUACAGCUUAACUGUAGAACUGCACUUGAAACUCUCAAUCUAGAGUAUGGGAGGGGCAGAUGGAAUUAGUGGUGUAGGGGUAAAAUCCGUAGAUAUCACUAGGAAUACCUAAAGCGAAGGCGAUCUGCUGGAACAUUACUGACGCUAAGGCGUGAAAGCGUGGGGAGCAAACAGGAUUAGAUACCCCUGUAGUC
rnacentral:rRNA from 1 species